rnacentral:rRNA from 1 species
UGGAGCGACGAAGGGACUUCGGUCCCGGCAAAGCCGCGAACGGGUGAGUAACACGUGGGUUACCUGCCCUGAUGACCGGGACAACCCGAGGAAACUCGGGCUAAUACCGGAUGUGCCCGCAAGGGGAAAGGAAGCUUCGGCCUCCGCAUCAGGAUGGGCCCGCGGCGCAUUAGCUUGUUGGUGGGGUAACGGCCUACCAAGGCGACGAUGCGUAGCUGGUCUGAGAGGACGAUCAGCCACACUGGGACUGAGACACGGCCCAGACUCCUACGGGAGGCAGCAGUGGGGAAUCUUGCACAAUGCGCGAAAGCGUGAUGCAGCAACGCCGCGUGCGGGAAGACGGCCUUCGGGUUGUAAACCGCUUUCAGUUGGGACGAAGGUUCGAUCGUUAAUAGCGGUUUGGACUGACGGUACCUUCAGAAGAAGCCCCGGCUAACUACGUGCCAGCAGCCGCGGUAAUACGUAGGGGGCAAGCGUUGUCCGGAAUCAUUGGGCGUAAAGCGCGUGUAGGCGGCUCAGUAAGUCCGCUCUGAAAGUCCAAGGCUCAACCUUGGGAUGCGGGUGGAUACUGCUGGGCUCGAGUCCGGAAGAGGCGAGUGGAAUUCCUGGUGUAGCGGUGAAAUGCGCAGAUAUCAGGAGGAACACCAAUGGCGAAGGCAGCUCGCUGGGACGUGACUGACGCUGAGACGCGAAAGCGUGGGGAGCAA